GUUUAUAUAGUUUAUAUAAAACAUUACAUUUUCAAUGUAAAAAUGAAUAUCUUCUAUAAAUA
rnacentral:tRNA from 1 species